GUUUUCAGGGGCUUUAAACGCUGUGGUCUGUCUGCUGUGUCGUGGCUUUUAUUGAAACAUGGCAGAGAUUUUCUACAGACUGUUCACCUACUUGGGAUAUGGAAAUAAAUGGGAACAUGUUCCAUUGAGGGACAUGAUGGCGGAGUUCGCGGCGUGUGAGGGGAUGACUGAGGAAAGGACCUCUGGUUCUCAGUCGUCUGGGUGUGCCCCUCACGUGCCGCCGCCACCUCUGCCAGACAUACCUAAACAAUAAAUACAAGAGCCUACCCCGUCGGCUGCAGCCUACACCCCCAGUUGCACCCACUCAACCCCUCACAGAGGUAGGCCCUUCCACCUCUGAUUUCAGGCCCCAGAUGAGGAAGAAGAGAGGGAUUUGAGCGUGAGCCAUUAAGUACGCUCCAGGAGGCUGGCAAUAUGGAGCCACCACCACCUCCUCCUCCUCCUCCUCCUCCUCCUCCUCAAGAGGCUCUGUCCACAGCAGAUGAAGAUGAGUGUUUUUUUAUUUAUUUAUUUAUUUUUUUAUAUUAAGCCUCUUGCCUGAUGACCCUAGUCGAGAGGGCCGAGGUGAAAUUUAGAA